rnacentral:rRNA from 1 species
UACGGGGGGGGCAAGCGUUGUUCGGAAUUACUGGGCGUAAAGGGCUCGUAGGCGGCCAGCUAAGUCAGACGUGAAAUCCCUCGGCUUAACCGGGGAACUGCGUCUGAUACUGGAUGGCUUGAGGUUGGGAGAGGGAUGCGGAAUUCCAGGUGUAGCGGUGAAAUGCGUAGAUAUCUGGAGGAACACCGGUGGCGAAGGCGGCAUCCUGGACCAAUUCUGACGCUGAGGAGCGAAAGCCAGGGGAGCAAACGGGG